rnacentral:rRNA from 1 species
UGGGGAAUAUUGCACAAUGGGCGCAAGCCUGAUGCAGCCAUGCCGCGUGUAUGAAGAAGGCCUUCGGGUUGUAAAGUACUUUCAGUCGGGAGGAAGGUGGUAAGGUUAAUAACCUUAUCAAUUGACGUUACCGACAGAAGAAGCACCGGCUAACUCCGUGCCAGCAGCCGCGGUAAUACGGAGGGUGCAAGCGUUAAUCGGAAUUACUGGGCGUAAAGCGCACGCAGGCGGUUUGUUAAGUCAGAUGUGAAAUCCCCGGGCUCAACCUGGGAACUGCAUCUGAUACUGGCAAGCUUGAGUCUCGUAGAGGGAGGUAGAAUUCCAGGUGUAGCGGUGAAAUGCGUAGAGAUCUGGAGGAAUACCGGUGGCGAAGGCGGCCCCCUGGACGAAGACUGACGCUCAGGUGCGAAAGCGUGGGGAGCAAACAGG